AGUGAACGCUGGCGGUAGGCCUAACACAUGCAAGUCGAACGGCAGCACAGUAAGAGCUUGCUCUUACGGGUGGCGAGUGGCGGACGGGUGAGGAAUACAUCGGAAUCUACUUUUUCGUGGGGGAUAACGUAGGGAAACUUACGCUAAUACCGCAUACGACCUACGGGUGAAAGCAGGGGAUCUUCGGACCUUGCGCGAAUGAAUGAGCCGAUGUCGGAUUAGCUAGUUGGCGGGGUAAAGGCCCACCAAGGCGAGGAUCCGUAGCUGGUCUGAGAGGAUGAUCAGCCACACUGGAACUGAGACACGGUCCAGACUCCUACGGGAGGCAGCAGUGGGGAAUAUUGGACAAUGGGCACAAGCCUGAUCCAGCCAUACCGCGUGGGUGAAGAAGGCCUUCGGGUUGUAAAGCCCUUUUGUUGGGAAAGAAAAGCAGCAGGUUAAUACCCCGCUGUUCUGACGGUACCCAAAGAAUAAGCACCGGCUAACUUCGUG
rnacentral:rRNA from 1 species